rnacentral:rRNA from 1 species
AGUGAACGCUGGCGGUAGGCCUAACACAUGCAAGUCGAACGGCAGCACAGUAAGAGCUUGCUCUUACGGGUGGCGAGUGGCGGACGGGUGAGGAAUACAUCGGAAUCUACUUUUUCGUGGGGGAUAACGUAGGGAAACUUACGCUAAUACCGCAUACGACCUACGGGUGAAAGCAGGGGAUCUUCGGACCUUGCGCGAUUGAAUGAGCCGAUGUCGGAUUAGCUAGUUGGCGGGGUAAAGGCCCACCAAGGCGACGAUCCGUAGCUGGUCUGAGAGGAUGAUGAGCCACAAUGGAAGAGAGACAGGGCCGAGACUCAUGGGUGGGGCAGGUGUGGGAAAUUGGGGACAAGGGGCGAAAGCCUGAUACAGCUAUACCGCGUGUGUGAAAAGGGCCUUGGGUUUGUAAAGCUCUUUUGUGGGGAAAAAAAAAGUGAGGGUUAACACCCCGCUUUUCAGACGGCACCCAAAGAAUAAGCACCGGCAAACUGCG